GGGGAAACCUGACCCGAGCAAUACUACGUGAAGGAUGAAGGUCUAAGGAUUGUAAACUUCUGUUAGCGCGAAGAAGGGCUAAGCGCGAGCUUAGUCUUGACGGUAUGCGCAGAGAAAGCAACGACUAACUAUGUGCCAGCAGUCGCGGUAAGACAUAGGUUGCGAACGUUAUCCGGAAUUAUUGGGCGUAAAGGAUGCGUAGAUGGUUUGAUAAGUUAUCAGUGGCAAAUCGGGGCUCAACCUCGUGGAAGUUGGUAAUACUGUCAUACUUGAGUGCAGGAGAAGUUAACGGAACUCUAUAUGGAGCGGUAAAAUGUGACGAUAUAUAGAAGAACACCAAUAAGGCGAAGGCAGUUAACUAUUCUGUUACUGACAUUGAGGCAUGAAAGCGUGGGGAGCAAAACGGAUUAGAUACCCGUGUAGUCCACGCCCUAAACGAUGAGUGCUAGAUAUUGGGAACUAGAUUCUCAGUGUCACUAGUUAACACGGUAAGCACUCCGCCUGGGUAGUACGAUCGCAAGGUUGAAACUCAAAGGAAUUGACGGGGACUCGCACAAGCAGUGGAGCAUGUGGUUUAAUCCGAUACAACGCGUAGAACCUUACCAAGGCUUGACAUGUUGGGCAAAGCUAGGGAAACCUAGUAGAGGUUAUCCUAACACAGGUGCUGCAUGGCCGUCGUCAGUUCGUGCCGUGAGGUGUAUGGUUAGUCCUAUAACGAACGCAACCCUUGUGCUUAGUUGCCAGCAUUAAGUUGGGGACUCUAAGCAGACUGCCGGGGUAACCUGGAGGAAGGAAAGGAUGACGUCUGGUCGUCAUGGCCCUUAUGCCUUGGGCGACACACGUGCUACAAUGGUUAGGACAAAGGGUUGCCAACCCGUGAGGGGGAGCUAAUCUCAAAAAACUAACCUCAGUUCGGAUUGGAGGCUGCAACUCGCCUCCAUGAAGUCGGAAUUGCUAGUAAUCGCAAAUCAGCCAUGUCGCGGUGAAUACGUUCCCGGG
rnacentral:rRNA from 1 species